CCUACGGGUGGCAGCAGUCGAGAAUCAUUCACAAUGGGGGAAACCCUGAUGGUGCGACGCCGCGUGGGGGAAUGAAGGUCUUCGGAUUGUAAACCCCUGUCAUGUGGGAGCAAAUUAAAAAGAUAGUACCACAAGAGGAAGAGACGGCUAACUCUGUGCCAGCAGCCGCGGUAAUACAGAGGUCUCAAGCGUUGUUCGGAAUCACUGGGCGUAAAGCGUGCGUAGGCUGUUUCGUAAGUCGUGUGUGAAAGGCGCGGGCUCAACCCGCGGACGGCACAUGAUACUGCGAGACUAGAGUAAUGGAGGGGGAACCGGAAUUCUCGGUGUAGCAGUGAAAUGCGUAGAUAUCGAGAGGAACACUCGUGGCGAAGGCGGUCUGCUGGACAGCAACUGACGGUGAGGCGCGAAAGCGUGGGGAGCAAACAGGAUUAGAUACCCGGGUAGUC
rnacentral:rRNA from 1 species